AUUGUUUUGUACGUUGGUACAGAUAGAAGUGUUUGAGAGCUCUGGAAUUUCUCCUUGGUUUUUGUUAUUGGAUAGCCUUAGCAUUUGCCUUGGACAUUUUCUUGUUGGAUUAUCUUGACCCCUGUUUAGGGGUUUUAGCGUCAAGACUAAGUUUUAGUCGUAGUCUCAGUUGAAGACUCUAUUUCAAGUAUUAGUGUCAAGUCUAUAUGUUAGACUCUGUGUCAAGUCUCAGUGUCAAGACUUGUUUAUUCAGUCUCAGUUCUAUAUUGAGAGUACAACUGUAGGUCUACAGUCUACAGGACUGAGGUCUUUCUCUCAGUUGGUCGUCUGGUGUGCACGUGGAUUUGUACAUGAGUCUGAGGUUCAAGAUUCCAGACUGCGGGUUGCAGUGGUCAGACCUGAUGGUGUAGUGUCAACUAUGAACUUCUACUUUUUGGAAUUGUCGUCAGUGGACAGUACCUGAUCUAGAGGCUAGAUCUACAUAUAUUACCAGUUGUUGUUUUUGAGAUUGAAGGACUAGGUGAUCCAUUGAACUACUUAUUAUAGUUAAGGUAAUAUACUAUGUGUUUCAUAAUUAUAUGAAUGUUCUGUAUCUAAGAAGACUAACUGGAUCCUUGUAGAUUACAUAUUAUUACAUAUUGAUAUUUCAUACUAUUAUUAUCAGUCAUCAUGAAUCAGUCAUUUGUAAAUAUAUCACAAGAAUAAAUUUUAUUGUUAUUUACAUCAUA